rnacentral:lncRNA from 1 species
AUUAUACAUGUUAUGUUUGAACUCAAAAACAUGAUGAAUAAAAUGACACUUACAUUUUGUCAUUUUAAAAGGAGUAGAAGAAGAAGCUUACGCAAGGGAAGAAAAAAAAAAGGAUUGUUUGUUCAAUCAUAAAAUCUUACAUGUAGAAUGCAAAAUUUAGUUUAGAAUUGUUCCCGUCUUAAAUCUGAGAAAUAAUAUUGUUAAGGUUAAUUUGAUUUACAACUCUUCUACUCUAGCAUUUGUUAGAAAACUAUUAAAAGCACCGCCUCCGACUCUGCCUAUAAUUAAUUGUUCCACGUGUACCGUUUCUUUUUCUGUUUUCAUUAUGUUUCUCUUUUCGGUUUACUCUCUCCCUUAUAUAAACAUUUUCUGUAAUUGUACCUUCAAUAUUUUUCAGAUAAUAUAAAAGUGUCUUUCACCAUUACCCUUCUCUGCUGUCUUCUUGUUCUUUUAUCUAUGUUUCUUUAUCUUGCGUUUCCACGAUGUAUUCACCCACACACAGAUGCGAGACUAUGAGCUUCCACAAAUGCCCAGAAGGUUCCGCUGCAGUUCUUCUAUGAUGGUAUUAGAGCUCUUCUUUGAAGAGCUUUGUUGCGCCAACCCUAAAUCCCCUUUUAUUUACUUUCUUUUGCUUUCUUUCACAAUUUCUUGCAUAAUGGUGGAAGAUCAUAAUAGUUCUUUCAGUUUUCUGUACCUCCAUCCGGGUGAAAACCCAGUCGUUUCUCUUGUGUCUCCGCUCCUUGAAUCAAACAACUACCACGCUUGGAGCAAAUCUAUGUCUACUGCUUUAAGUGCCAAGAACAAGGCCCAGUUUGUUGAUGGGACUGCUGAUGAACCUCUCAAGGAAGACGCCACUCACAAUGCCUGGAAGAGGUGCAACAAUAUGGUGGUCUCUUGGAUUGUUCACUCUGUUUCACCUAACAUACGACACAGUAUUCUUUGGAUGAACAGUGCUCAGGCCAUAUGGGAUGACCUCAAAUCCAGAUUUUUCCAGGGAGAUCUUCUACGGAUUUCUGCAUUGUAAAAUGAAGCAGCUUGCUUGCGUCAAGGAGAUAGCACUGUCACGGAAUUCUUCACUAAGCUCCGAAUCAUAUGGGAUGAACUUGAAAGUUUUCGCCCAGAACCAGUUUGCUCGUGUGAAACACCAUGUUCUUGUACAAUGACCGAGAUUAUUGCCCAAAGAAAGCAUGAAGAUCGCGUCCUGCAAUUUCUUCGAGGUUGAAUGAGCAGUAUGGUAACAUUCAAUCCCAUGUCCUUUUAAUGGAUCUCAUGCCUUCUAUUUCCAAAAUUUUUUCAUACGUUGUACAACAAGAAAGACAAGUUAUGAAUAAAAAUUUUCUGAAUGCUUUAGAAACAAAAAGUGUUGCUGCUAUUAAUCUUGUUUCAUGUUCAUAUUGUGGUAAAAAUGGGCACAUUGAGUCUGUUUGUUUCAAGAAAAACAGCUUCCCUACGAACAAAAAUUAUACCAAUCGAAAGACUUGCUCUCACUGUGGUAAAGUUGGCCACACCAUUGAGGUUUGCUACAAAAAGCAUGGGUUUCCACCCGGUCAUAGACUUCACAGUGGAAAAAGCUUCAUGACCAGAAAUCAAGAAACCAAAACCGAGAGCCAAGACGAUGCUUCUGAUCAUGAAGUUCGGCUAACUCAACAACAGUAUCAAGCUUUAAUGGCUCUCAUCAAACCCACCAAUGAUACAGGGUCUGCAUCCACUAAUCAAAUUAGUUUUAUAGUCUCUACCUCCACUGCUAGAGGUAAAACCAUUUUUUGUCUCAAUUCACACAAAGAAGAAGGUAGUAUCUCUUGGAUUUUAGAUUCUGGUGCAACAGAUCACGUUGUUUCUUCUCUUAACCUUUUUCAAUCCUAUGAAAAGAUUAACCCAAUUAUUAUCAAUUUACCUAAUGGCAUGAAAGCAAAAGCUACUCAUAAAGGAGUUAUUCAUAUAUGUGAUAAGAUCAUUCUAAAAGACGUUCUUUUUAUUCCUGAUUUCUGUUAUAAUCUUAUCUCUAUAUCUAAAUUGGUUGCUCAUAAUCAUUUAUGCCUUAUCUUUACUAAUACUGUUUGUUCUAUUCAAGAUACGACAACAAACAAGAAGAUUGGUUCAGUUAACUCUCACGCUGGUUUAUACAUCUUCUGUGACUACAACAACAUCAGACAACACUCAAACAAUUAUGCAAAUAUUCAUCAAAUAUGUAAAGUUAGAUGUAAUAAUCUUUGGCACAGUCGCUUGGGUCAUAUGUCUGAUAGACGUUUAGAUAUCUUAAAACAAAAAUACCACUGUAUUGACUCUAGAUCUAAUAAUUGCAAUGCUUGUCAUGCUGUCAAACAAAAACGUCUUCCUUUUCCUUCCAGUACUACUUAUGCCUUGCAUCCUUUUGAUGUUAUACAUGUUGAUAUUUGGGGACCUUGCUCUGUUGCUUCUUUACACUCUCAUAGAUAUUUUUUAACCAUUAUUGAUGAUCAUACUCGAUAUACUUGGGUGCAUCUAAUGAAAACUAAAUCUGAAACCCGCCAACAUCUCAUUCAUUUCAUUGCAUAUGUUAAAAAUCAAUUUAAAACCGCCAUAAAGGUCAUUAGGUCUGACAAUGGCAGGGAAUUUAAUAUGCACGAUUACUAUAAGACUGAAGGCAUAGUUCAUCAAACCUCCUGUAAUGAAACACCCCAACAAAAUGGUAUAGCCGAAAGGAAACAUCAACAUCUUCUAAAUGUUGCUAGAGCUUUAAUUUUUCAUUCUAAUAUUUCCACUCAGUUUUGGACUUAUGCUCUAAAUUAUGCUACUCUCCUUGUUAAUAUCAUGCCUACACCUUUUCUGCAAGAUAGUUCUCCCUAUGACAGGUUGUAUCAAAAAGAUUUUGACAUUAGUAGACUUAAAGUGUUUGGUUGCUUAUGCUAUGUGAGCACUCUUCAAGCUAAUAGGAAGAAACUUGAUCCCCGUGCCAAACCUAGUCUCUUUCUUGGGAUUCAUCCUACUACCAAAGGUUAUAUCACUUAUGAUCUUGACAAGCAUGAUAUUAAAAUAUCUAGAAAUGUUAUUUUUUAUGAAUCCGACUUUCCUGAUAAAAACUCCACCACUGCUGAUAAUCUGCAUGUUCCUUUACCUUUGAAUAAUAAUCAAGUGUCUUAUGAUCAUGAUCAACCUAAUGAAAUGGUUACUUCCAAUAAUUCCUCUGAUUUUGAAAACAAUGAUGAAAACAAUAUUGAGAAUGACACUCAUUCUCCAAGGCGGUCCACUAGAGUUAGAAAACCUCCUGCAUAUUUAAAAGACUUUCAAAUUUCUUCUUAUAGCAGAACUAACACUAAAUAUCGUAUUGAUCAUGUUCUAACAUUUGAUAAAAUAUCUACUACAUAUAGAACUUUUAUUUAUUCUUUAGACAGCUUUGCCGAUCCACAAGACUACAAAGAAGCCAUACAAUAUCAACAUUGGCAAUCGGCCAUGCAGGAAGAGCUUACUGCUUUGGAACAGAACCAUACUUGGACCAUUACUACUCUACCCCCAAAUAAAAAGGCUAUAGGAUGCAAGUGGGUCUACAAGACUAAACGCAAUGUUGAUGGCACAAUAGAUAGAUUCAAGGCCCGCCUUGUUGCAAAGGGGUACACCCAAAUGGAGGGCAUUGACUAUUUUGACACUUUUUCACCUAUGGUAAAACUUACUAGUGUGCGACUUAUUUUAUCUCUUACCUCUGCUCAAAACUGGCAUCUAAAACAAUUAGAUGUCAAUAAUGCCUUCUUGCAUGGAGAUUUGUAUGAAGAAGUCUACAUGCAAUUGCCACCAGGAGUCACUGCCACAGGUCCUAACCAAGCUUGCCUCCUCCACAAAUCUCUCUACGGUUUGAAACAAGCUAGUCGUCAAUGGUAUGAUAAAUUAUCUUCUUUUCUCCUCUCUCAAGACUUCACACAAACAUCAGGUGAUCAUUCUCUUUUUACCAAACACAAUGGUGAUAACAUUACAAUCAUGAUUGUCUACGUAGAUGAUAUAAUAUUGACUGGAAAUGACAUUAAUGACAUUACUCACAUUACUAACAUGCUUAAUGAUCGUUUCAAAAUUAAGAAUCUUGGUUACUUGUCUUACUUUUUAGGUUUUGAGGUGGCUCGAAGUAAUGAAGGUAUUCAUCUUUCCUAGCGCAAGUAUGCUUUGGAUCUUCUCAACGAAACAAGAAUGCUUGAUGUUGCUCCUGUCAGUACACCAAUGAACUUCUCAACCAAAGUUUCCUCUCAAGGAGAUCCUGUUGAUGAUCUUGCUGCCUUCAAAAGAUUAAUCGGGAGACUUAUCUAUCAUACCAACACUUGCCCCGAUAUCACCUAUGCGGUCCAUCGUUUAAGCCAACACGUUGCUUCUCCAACUAAGCUUCAUCAUCAAGUUGCUUUCAGAAUUCUGCGCUACAUCAAACAAACACCAGGUCAGGGUAUUUUCUUAAAAGCUAUUAAUACUCUCACCUUAAAAGCUUAUAGCGAUUUAGAUUGGGCUAGUUGCCCUGACUCCCGCAAAUCCACCACGGGAUACAUUGUUUACUUGGGUGAUUCCCCAAUAUCAUGGAGAUCCAAGAAGCAAUCAACUGUCUCGCGCAGCUCAUCUGAGGCCGAAUAUCGUGCUCUUGCUCAAACUGCCUGUGAAAUUCAUUGGCUCAUCAAUCUUCUCACUGAUCUUCGCCUUCCAUUCUCUCAACCUGCUACCAUCUUCUACGACAAUCACUCUGCAAUCAAAAUUGCUAUUAACCAGGUCUUCCACGAAAGAACCAAACAUAUCGAGAUAGAUUGUCACCUCAUUCGCGAAAAAGUCCAGCGAGGAACUAUCAAGCUUCUCCCCAUCCAUACCACUUUACAACUCGCUGAUAUUUUGACGAAGACUCUUUCUCCUUCCACCUUCCAUACCAUUAAUUCCAAGCUUGGCACUCUGAACAUCUAUGCCAAGCUUGAGGGGGGCUGUCAGAAAACUAUUAAAAGCACCACCUCCGACUCUGCCUAUAAUUAAUUGCUCCACGUGCACCGUUUCUUUUUCUGUUUUCAUUUUGUUUCUCUUUUCGGUUUACUCUCUCCCUUAUAUAAACCUUUUCUGUAAUUGUACCUUUAAUAUUUUUUAGAUAAUACAAAAGUGUCUUUCACCAUUACCCUUCUCUACUGUCUUCUUGUUCUUUUAUCUAGGUUUCAUUAUCUUGCGUUUCCACGAUGUAUUCACUCACACACAGAUGCGAGACUAUGAGCUUCCACAAAUGCCCAGAAGGUUCCGCUGCAGUUCUUCUAUGAGCAUUGACCCUACC